GGUUUCAGUGUGCCAAACUAAAGAUUAACAUGUUGCAAAGAAUCUCAAGUAUGCAAUAAAUAUUACACAGUAAGAAAUACAUAACAGCAUUAGUACACAACAAAACUAUAAAAAGAAUGCCUCGUUAACAUAUAACGUACCUGUGGUCAGUGAAGAGGACAGGCUUAAAACUUGCUGAUUUAGAACUUUAUGAUCCUCAAGUAACCCGUCCAUGGUCUCAUUGAUAGAUACAGAAACAGUCUUUAUGGAAUUUUCUAUCUCCUCAUACACAGAACCGUUGAUAACUCUCAGACUGUUUUUGACAUCAUUUAAUUGUUUUCUAAAGAAGUCAUUUUCUUUUGACAAUUCUUGGUUUUUAUUUCGGACGUCCGAUUCUCCAUUUUUUAAUUGCUUAACGUCUUCAAGUAAGGCUUUAUAAGUAGAAUUCAAUGUGGUCAACACCUGUUUAAGUUUUGUAACCUCGGUUUCUAUACCGUUGUCUCUUCUAUCCAAUUUU